rnacentral:rRNA from 1 species
ACUCAAAUGAAUAGACGGGGGCCCGCACAAGCAGCGGAGCGUGUGGUUUAAUUCGAUGCAACGCGAAGAACCUUACCCGGGCUUGACAUGCACGUGGUACCCGAGGGAAACCGAGGGGACCCGCGAGGGAGCGUGCGCAGGUGCUGCACGGCUGUCGUCAGCUCGUGCCGUGAGGUGUUGGGUUAAGUCCCGCAACGAGCGCAACCCCCGCGCCUAGUUACCAUGUCUAGGCGGACCGCCGGGACCAACCCGGAGGAAGGUGGGGACGACGUCAAGUCAGCGUGGCCCUUACGUCCGGGGCGACACACACGCUACAAUGGCCGGGACAAUGGGCCGCGAAGGGGCGACCCGGAGCCAAUCCCAGCAAACCCGGCCCCAGUUCGGAUCGGGGGCUGCAACCCGCCCCCGUGAAGUCGGAGUUGCUAGUAACCGCCGGUCAGCACACGGCGGUGAAUGCGUUCCCGGGCCUUGUACACACCGCCCGU